rnacentral:rRNA from 1 species
CCANNUNAAGUGCCUUCCGAAGUUUCCGUGCAANNUCCUUUGAGUUUCCGUGCAAUUCCUUUGAGUUUCCGUCAAUUCCUUUGAGUUUCCGUCAAUUCCUUUGAGUUUCCGUCAAUUCCGUUGAGUUNCCGUCAAUUCCUUUGAGUNUCCGUCAACCUCCUNUGANNUUCCGACAACANGGGGCGAGCNUUCGNCAAUGGUGUUGCGCCAGAUCNNGNACGCAUUUGANCGCUACACCNGGAAUUCCACCCCCCUCUCUCANACUCGAGCGACGCAGUCUCAAAUGCCGUUCCCGGGUUGAGCCCGGGGCUUUCACAUCUGACUUACGUUGCCGCCUACGUGCGCUUUACGCCCAGUGAUUCCGAUUAACGCUUGCACCCUCCGUAUUACCGCGGCUGCUGGCACGGAGUUAGCCGGUGCUUCUUCUGUGGGUAANGNCANCCCCGAGGGG